rnacentral:rRNA from 1 species
CCUACGGGAGGCAGCAGUGAGGAAUAUUGGUCAAUGGGCGGAAGCCUGAACCAGCCAAGUAGCGUGCAGGAUGACGGCCCUACGGGUUGUAAACUGCUUUUAUACGGGAAUAACGCGCCUUACGUGUAGGGCUUUGCAUGUAACGUAUGAAUAAGGACCGGCUAAUUCCGUGCCAGCAGCCGCGGUAAUACGGAUGGUCCGGGCGUUAUCCGGAUUUAAUGGGUUUAAAGGGAGCGUAGGCCGCCUGUCACGCGUUCUGUGAAAUGUCCGGGCUCAACCCGGGCCUUGCAGCGCGAACUGGCGUGCUUGAGUCCGCGGAACGCAGGCGGAAUUCGUCGUGUAGCGGUGAAAUGCUUAGAUAUGACGAAGAACCCCGAUUGCGAAGGCAGCUUGCUGCAGCGGAACUGACGCUGAUGCUCGAAAGCGCGGGUAUCGAACAGGAUUAGAUACCCCAGUAGUC